UUAAUGGCUACCUCACAGUCCUUGUGCAGGACUUCAAUCAGCAGUCCAAAAAAAAGGCCAGACUCAUCGACACCUUUGCUAUGACAGACAUCUGGAAGCAAAAUCGUUCAAAGCUGAAGUUGGAUCCGAUGGCAUACAAGAUGCUUCUCGGAAUUAUCAAUGAAAGUCAUCAUUGGUUGCUGAUGGUCAUCUUCCCCUCUGAGAAGAGGGCUCUCUUCUUCGAUCCAUUUGGGGAAUCCCUCGCCCAAAUGAAGAAAUGCCAGGCAGCAACAAGAGCAUUCCUACGAGACAAGGGAUGCAAUAUAUCCAGAGUGGCCAUUAGCACUCUCCCCCACCCAAUCCAGAAGGAUUGUACAUCAUGUGGGGUCUUCGCCCUCAUGUUUGCUGAGAGCAUUAUUAAGGGCGAAAAUGAAAUGAAAUUCAAAACGUCAGCUGAGGACCUGGAAAGGCAUCGUUUUCAGAUCGCAAAAACACUGCUACUAAGGACUGAGAACCUGAGUCAGCGCUGUCACUUUUGUGGGGAGGAGGACUGUGAUGAUCGUGACGAGCCAUAUUGGAUUGGCUGUGAUAGCUGUCCCCGGUGGUACCACCACGCCUGUGUCAAUCGACCUUCGGAUGAUGAUCCAUUUAUUUGUGCUGCUUGUGUUUAGAGAGAGUGUGUGUGUGUGUGUCUGUGUGAUAGUUUGCAAAGAAUUAUGUUGAUUUUAUUCUCAUAAAAGGAGGUGUCCAUAUGUAUGUGUAUUUUGUAAAUAGUUAGCAAAGAAUUAUUGCUUAAUAUUGUUCUCAUAAAAGUAAACAUUAACCAAUA